AACGAACGCUGGCGGCGUGGAUAAGACAUGCAAGUCGAACGGUCUUUUCUAUGGAAGCUUGCUUCCACUGAGAAGAUAGUGGCGAACGGGUGAGUAACACGUGGGUAACCUGCCCAUAAGAGGGGGAUAACAUCCGGAAACGGGUGCUAAUACCGCAUAGUUUUCUUGAUCGCAUGAUUGAGAAAGGAAAGACGGCCUUUGUGCUGUCGCUUAUGGAUGGACCCGCGGCGUAUUAGUUAGUUGGUGAGGUAACGGCUCACCAAGACGAUGAUACGUAGCCGACCUGGGAGGGUGAUCGGCCAAAUUGGGACUGAGACACGGCCCAAACUCCUACGGGAGGCAGCAGUAGGGAAUCUUCCGCAAUGGACGAAAGUCUGACGGAGCAACGCCGCGUGAGUGAAGAAGGUUUUCGGAUCGUAAAACUCUGUUGUCAGAGAAGAACAAGUCGGAGAGUAACUGCUCCGGCCUUGACGGUAUCUGACCAGAAAGCCACGGCUAACUACGUGCCAGCCGCCGCCGUAACAC
rnacentral:rRNA from 1 species